rnacentral:rRNA from 1 species
GACGAACGCUGGCGGCGUGCUUAACACAUGCAAGUCGAACGGAAAGGCCCUUCGGGGUACUCGAGUGGCGAACGGGUGAGUAACACGUGGGUGAUCUGCCCUGCACUUUGGGAUAAGCCUGGGAAACUGGGUCUAAUACCGAAUAUGAUCAUCGGCUUCAUGGUCGGUGGUGGAAAGCUUUUGCGGUGUGGGAUGGGCCCGCGGCCUAUCAGCUUGUUGGUGGGGUAAUGGCCUACCAAGGCGACGACGGGUAGCCGGCCUGAGAGGGUGACCGGCCACACUGGGACUGAGAUACGGCCCAGACUCCUACGGGAGGCAGCAGUGGGGAAUAUUGCACAAUGGGCGCAAGCCUGAUGCAGCGACGCCGCGUGAGGGAUGACGGCCUUCGGGUUGUAAACCUCUUUCAGCACAGACGAAGCGCAAGUGACGGUAUGUGCAGAAGAAGGACCGGCCAACUAC